CGGGUGGCCGUGUCCCUGCUGGAGUGCGGGGGGGACCUCCAGCCCCCCGGGGGGUCCCUGCGCCUCCUCUGCCGAGGCUCCGGGUUCAGUUUCGGUCAUUAUGAUCUGCACUGGAUCCGCCAGAGCCCCGGGCAGGGGCUGCAGUGGGUGGCCGCCAUUGACAGCCACGGUGGCACCUACUACGCGCCGUCACUGCGGGGCCGGGUCGCGAUCUCCAGGGACAACGGGCAGCACUCCAUGUCCCUGACCAUGAACAACCUCAAGGACGAGGAUUCCGGAUCCUAUUUCUGCGCCAAGGAUUCCAGCACUAACAUUGCUGCUGGUGCCCUCGAAUCUGUUGACCCGUUUAAAGACCUCAGUUGA